CAGCGGUAUUUCCAUGGCCGUAGCUCGCUUCAUAAAACACUGCAGUUGUUGACUACAUACGUUUAUACUGCAAGUAACAAAUCAUUUCUUAAUCAACAGGAUUAUGGCUUCACUAAAUUUGUUGAGGUAUUUGGUUAUCAAAGAUAAUGAAGAUGACAACCAAACUGGAUUAUGGACAGAGCUUGGAAAGAUUGAAAAUAACUUUCUACAGCCACUUCAUGUAGGACUUAAUAUGUCAAAGGCACAUUAUGAAGCAGAGAUUAAAAACAGCCAACAAAAUAGCCAAGCUGCCUCAAUGUGUAAAAGUGUUUGUUCUGUGACUGUAGGCGGAGAAGAAAUCCCCACUAUGCCUCCUGAGAUGCAGCUUAAGGUCUUACAUUCCGCCCUCUUCACAUUCGACUUGAUUGAAAGUGUCCUGGCUCGAGUCGAAGAACUCAUUGAAAUCAAAUCAAAGUCUACCUCUGAGGAAAACGCUGGGAUGAAGUAAAAGCUCUACUUCAUGAAUAAAAACCAAUAAAAUGCC
rnacentral:lncRNA from 1 species